rnacentral:lncRNA from 1 species
GGCCACCCCCAUGGCAUAUGGAAGUUCCCAGGCUAGGGGUCUAAUCGGAAGUACAGCUGCCACUGAGCCCAGAGAUCUUCCCCAAAGCCUUCUAGAGAUGAUGGGUAUGGUUUCUCUAGGGAAACAAGGUGCUACCUCCAGGGAUCUUGAGCUCCCAAGCACUGAGGGGGUGAGAGGUUGCCAGGCAGGGUCUGCAAGAUGAGCCAUCUAUAUAGAAGGGGGACGUCAGAACAAGGAAGAGGGAUGGCUAAUAGCAAUGGCCACUACCCACUGCCACAUUUCACCUCACCACAGCUCUUGAGAGAGGGCAAGUGUUAUUAUUUCCAUGUCCUGAUAAGGAAGCCAUGGCUCACAAGGGGUGAAGGGACCUGCCACAGUCACACAGUGGCCAGGGUUCUGGACAGGCCAUCUCAAUGCCCCACUCUCAACCUCUUCUCUUUAAUAAAGAGAAGGCAGAAUUGGGACCUCAGGAGUUAUUCUGGAAACUCCCACCACCACCACCAUCACUGCCAAGCUGGCCUCCAUCCCCCAUCAACCCCAGGGCACACAGCUCGAUUUCAAAGCACCAUGUAAGGCUUCACAUGGGCUUCUGCAAAUGGCAAAAUAAGUUGGUAGAUAAGUAAAUGAUGUGUUUUUUAUUAUGUAAAUCCAUGGGGAAAAAGAAUCAAUCACAUAAGUUCAUCAAAAAAGAAUCAAUCACAAAAGUUCAUCAAAAUUUUAAUGAUGGGCCACCUUGGGGCUGGCUAUUUAACCUGUGUCACAUGAAGGAAAGCAACAAAACACACUUGGGACUUGGAUCUGCUUAGCCUGGGGCCCAGACCCUCCCUCUACACCCUCUGCCUGAGGCUUUAAUCAAUCCCUUGAGGUCCUCAGGGUCACAGAUGGAGGUGCAGGAACUGCCCUGUUUCCUCUGCAGGCUAUGCUCUCCCUGCCUUCUACAAUUUGCCAUCUUUUCCCGAUGUUUCCUGUUCAGUCUCCCCCCUGCAAAUGAGAACCCCUGCCCAGCCCAGCAGCUGUAUCCUGGACCCGAACCUCACCCAGCAGGGGUACUUUCUGAAGCCCCUUGGUUCACAGAAGAAUGUCCAAAUCUGUCAUCCUCGAGUCAGCAUGUAUCUGUGGGCUUGUACCUUUGGGUUCUGGGGACUUGGCUCUUCCUGACUCUGCCCCCACAGUGUGAAUUCAGCUCAGCCUGCAGUCUAUUCUUUCUAGAAGCUUGGUUUCAAGAGUCUAAAUGUGGGAGUUCCCGUCAUGGCACAGCAGAAACAAAUCUGACUAGGAACCAUGAGGUUGCAGGUUCAAUCCCUGGCCUCAUUUGGUGGGUUAAGGAUCCAGUGUUUCUGUGAGCUGUGGUGUAGUUUGCAGACUUGGCUCAGAUCAGGCGUUGCUGUGGCUGUGGCUAGGCAGCUAUAGCUCUGAUUGGACCCCUAGCCUGGGAACCUCCACAUGCGGCAGGUGCAGCCCUAAAAACACAAAGGACAAAAAAAAAAAAAAAAGUCUAAAUAUGGCCCCAUGGUAGAGGAACAGCCAAGAGCUGAGAAGACAGCUCUGCUGCCUUUCAUUGCAUAACUGGAUAGCUUCCAGCUGAGAGCCCCACCAUGAAGAGCUCCCAAGUAACUUCCUAUUUAUGAGCUUGAACAUUUAAGCAGACAAAGGAUUUAAGGGCUCAAGUUCAACCAACGCAGUGCCUUGUAUGUGUGGGCAGUGGGCUGAGCACAACCAUGUGUAUUAUCUCAUUUGACUAUCACGCCAUCCCCAAUUCACACAUGAGGAAACCGAGGCUCAGACAAUUUACAUAGCUUGUGGUUGGGGGCAAGGGUCAUGCAGCUAGCAAGUGAGAUUCAAAUGCAGGCUCUGAGGCCAGUUCCAACCCUUGAUCUCCCUAUAGCCCAGCCUCCCCAGCACCACACUUUUGUGGAAACUAUUCUGAGAAAUCAAAGCAACUCUUUUCUAUCCAGAACUAUAAAUAUCCAGAGACAGGGAGACGAGAUGAGAAAACAGACAUCCUUUCCCAGGAUUUGGGAGCAAAUUCUUGCAAAGCUCCCAAAAGUAUUUUGAGUUCUGAAAGCAAAAAACUGCCAGUGCAGACAAAAAAGAAAGAAAGAGUAGAGGGCAGAACAUAAAAGGCUAUGCUGAUCUGACGCUGGAAACAUCGUGGCUGAACAAACACCCUAAAACCGGCAAAAAUCUGCUGGAUGCUGACUUUAAGCAAAGAACAGGCUAAAGGUGGGUCUGCCUGUUUAACCCUUACAACAGCCCCCUCAGUUAGGUACCAGCAUCAACUCCAUAUUACAGUUGGAGGAACUUGGACACAAAGAGGUGAAAUG